GCCCCUUUCGUCUAGUGGUUAGGACACAAGAUUUUCAUUCUUGCAGCAGGGGUUCGAUUCCCCUAAGGGGUACCA
rnacentral:tRNA from 1 species